rnacentral:lncRNA from 1 species
AGGGCAUACUCGUGAGGGCAUUUUGUGAAGUUAUUUUCUAGAAAAUACUUGUCAAUUCUACUAUUCCAUGCCCUUGGAGCCUGUUUCAACCCAUAUAAAGCAUUUUUUAGUUUCAAGACUUUACCUUCAUGUCCUUUUACUUUAUAGCCCAUUGGUUGCUCCACAUAGAUUUCUUCUUCGAGAUAACCAUUUAGAAAAGCUGAUUUCACGUCCAUUUGAAAUAUCUUCCACUUAUUUUGUGCUGCGAGAGAGAUAAUUAAUCUUAUGAUUUCUAAACGAGCAACAGGAGCAAAUACCUCUUCAUAAUCAAUUCCCGACCGUUGGUUGUAACCUUUGGCAACCAAUCUUGCUUUGUAUCUUUUUACGUCUCCUUUAGCGUUCUUCUUUGCCUUGUACACCCACUUAACUCCGAUUGCUCUCUUUCCUUUGGGAAGAGUUGUCAGCUCCCACGUGUCAUUUUUCUCUAUAGCCUUAAUCUCUUCAUCCAUAGCAUCUCUCCAUCUUUUAUUUUGCACCG